UGUUGGAGUCUAGUCAUACCACCCUGAAUGCACCUGAUCUUGUCUGAUCUUGGAAGCUAAGCAGGGUUGGGCCUGGUUAGCACUUGGAUGGGAGACUGCCUGGGAAUCCAGCUUUUUCCAAAAA
rnacentral:rRNA from 1 species